rnacentral:rRNA from 1 species
ACACCGGCAGCCCAAGUGGUGGCCAUUUUUAUUGGGCCUAAAGCGUUCGUAGCCGGCCUGAUAAGUCUCUGGUGAAAUCCCGCAGCUUAACUGUGGGAAUUGCUGGAGAUACUAUCAGGCUUGAGGUCGGGAGAGGUUAGAGGUACUCCCAGGGUAGGGGUGAAAUCCUAUAAUCCUGGGAGGACCACCUGUGGCGAAGGCGUCUAACUGGACCGACACUGGCGGUGAGUAACGAAAGCCAGGGGCGCGAACCGGAUAAGAUACCCGGGUAGUCCUGGCCGUAAACGAUGUGGACUUGGUGUUGGGAUGGCCUCGAGCUGCCCCAGUGCCGAAGGGAAGCUGUUAAGUCCACCGCCUGGGAAGUACGGUCGCAAGACUGAAACUUAAAGGAAUUGACGGGG